rnacentral:tRNA from 1 species
CCCUCGUUAGUAUAGUGGACAGUAUCUCCGCCUGUCGUCACGCGGAAGACCGGGGUUCGAUUCCCGGCCGGGAGG